AUUGAACGCUGGCGGCAUGCCUUACACAUGCAAGUCGAACGGCAGCACGGGUGCUUGCCCCUGGUGGCGAGUGGCGAACGGGUGAGUAAUACAUCGGAACAUGUCCUGUAGUGGGGGAUAGCCCGGCGAAAGCCGGAUUAAUACCGCAUACGAUCUACGGAUGAAAGCGGGGGACCUUCGGGCCUCGCGCUAUAGGGUUGGCCGAUGGCUGAUUAGCUAGUUGGUGGGGUAAAGGCCUACCAAGGCGACGAUCAGUAGCUGGUCUGAGAGGACGACCAGCCACACUGGGACUGAGACACGGCCCAGACUCCUACGGCAGGCAGCAGUGGGGAAUUUUGGACAAUGGGCGAAAGCCUGAUCCAGCAAUGCCGCGUGUGUGAAGAAGGCCUUCGGGUUGUAAAGCACUUUUGUCCGGAAAGAAAUCCUUGGCCCUAAUACGGUCGGGGGAUGACGGUACCGGAAGAAUAAGCACCGGCUAACUACGUG
rnacentral:rRNA from 1 species